rnacentral:rRNA from 1 species
AUACGGAGGAUGCAAGCGUUAUCCGGAUUUAUUGGGUUUAAAGGGUGCGUAGGCGGAUGAUUAAGCGUGAGGUGAAAUGCCACUGCUCAACAGUGGAACUGCCUCGCGAACUGGUUGUCUUGAAUGCUCCUGCCGUGGGAGGAAUGUGUGGUGUAGCGGUGAAAUGCAUAGAUAUGCCACAGAACGCCGAUAGCGGAGGCAGCUCGCCAGGCCUGCAUUGACGCUCGGGCACGAAAGCGUGGGGAUCGAACAGGAUUAGAUACCCUGGUAGUCCACGCCGUAAACGAUGGGCGCUCGUCGUCGGCGGCAGACAGUCGGCGGCCAAGCGAAAGCGAUAAGCGCCCCACCUGGGGAGUACGGUCGCAAGGCUGAAACUCAAAUGAAUUGGCGGGG